rnacentral:rRNA from 1 species
AUAUGCCUACAACAUAGCAUUAAUGCACCAUAUCCCAUUAGAAAUUCAUAGUUAAUCAUGCCCAGACUAGAGUAGUACUGGGAUGGGUGACCACCCGGGAAGUCCUAGUAUUUUACAUGCU